UGCGGUAAUUUGACCGUGCGAAGGUAGCAUAAUCAAUAGUCUCUUAAUUGGAGGCUGGAAUGAAUGGUCGGACAAGAAGAAAAUUGUCUCUUACUUAAAUUUUGAAUUUUACUUUUAAGUGAAAAGGCUUAAAUAUUCUAAAGGGACGAUAAGACCCUAUAAAACUUUACAGGAUAGAUGUAUUUUUAUAAUUAAGAUGUAUAAUAAAAAUUAACGUUUUUCUUGUUUUGCUGGGGCGGCAAAAAUAAAAUUAAAUUUAUUUAACUGUUUAUAAAAAAAAAUAAUUUUAUAUUAGAAGUUGAUCCGAUAGUAUCGAUUAGAAGAAUAAGUUACUUUAGGGAUAACAGCGUAAUUAUUUUUGAGAGUUCUUAUUGACAAAAUUAGUUGCGACCUCGAUGUUGAAUUAAAACUUCCUGAAUGUGUAGAAG
rnacentral:rRNA from 1 species